rnacentral:lncRNA from 1 species
GGAUUUUAAGCAACCUCCACUAACUUCAAAGAGCGAUUUCAAAUUACAACUCUAUUUUCUAAGAGAAUAACUCUAGUACCUCAACUCAACAGUUAACUCUAAUUGUUCUAACAAUUCUCUAAGAAGAUAAGCCCUCUUCUUGUUACAAACCUCACUAACUACUCUCCAAGAAGUCAAACUUUCUUCUUGUUACAAUAUUCACUAACUACUCUUCAAGAAGUCAAACUCGCUUCUUGUUACAAACCUCACUAACUACUCUCCAAGAAGUCAAACUUUCUUCUUGUUACAAUAUUCACUAACUACUCUUCAAGAAGUCAAACUCGCUUCUUGUUACAAACCUCACUAACUACUCUCCAAGAAGUCAAACUUUCUUCUUGUUACAAUAUUCACUAACUACUCUUCAAGAAGUCAAACUCGCUUCUUGUUACAAACCUCACUAACUACUCUCCAAGAAGUCAAACUUUCUUCUUGUUACAAUAUUCACUAACUACUCUUCAAGAAGUCAAACUCGCUUCUUGUUACAAACCUCACCCAC